rnacentral:rRNA from 1 species
AUGGUGCCCUGCUGCCAAAGAAGGACCUCCACCGGUUCCUCAAGUGGGCCAAGGUCGUGCGCAUCCAAUGCCAGCGCCGCAUCCUCAAAUAGCGCCUCAAGGUGCCCCUGGCGCUCCAUGAGUUCACUCGCACCCUCGACAAGAACCUUAAGGCCACAGUUGCCCAGGUUCUACUACGAGAAGAGGUCUGCAGUCCAGAACAGAACUGGCAAGGAUGAUAGCAACCCCAAGAUCCAACCGCCCAGCUCGCCCAUGAGCGGACAGAGCCUUUCAACCUCUGCCAUCCCCACCUAUCAUGCUGGAGUUCCUAGGUCGAAGAAAUUCGAAGAAGCUCGAAGCCCCUGUCAGCCACUUGCUUUAUAUGUUAUUGAACUUGUAAUGCAGAAUUUUCUUGGAAUUUUGAUGUAA